UGCACGAGUGAAACCAUGGUAAACCAUCACGGCAGCCUGAGUUCUGUAGCCGCCUCAUGGUGUAAGGGUGGCCGUUUUGUCUUUUUUUAUUGGCGCUGGGCCAGAUUGGUUUUCACAGUAUUAUGUUGCAUCAGAAAGGAAAAUGACAUUUCGAAAUUAUGGCAAAGAAAGCAUUGUACUCCAUAUCGGGUUGUGUAAAGAGUGGUGCAAUGCUAUACGACCCUGGCUACAUGCAGAAAAGAGUCAUUAGCUAUUUAUUGCUCCUCCGGUGAGUAUCUACGUAUAUGUGUCUUUCUGAUGAUGAAAGCAUAUGCUGCUUGUGUUAAGAUUCUCACAUUGAACUUGUAGUGUCGGGUGAUGGCAUGGACGCUGAGAGCCUGAAGCAGGAAGCAGCUGGCCAU
rnacentral:lncRNA from 1 species